UUACGGUCAUAUAGCGUUGAAACACCGAUUCCCCUACAAGCACCGAAGUUAAGCAACGUCGAGACUGGACAGUACCUAUAUGGGUGACCGCUUGGUAAUACCAGCUGUUGCAAG